AUUGAACGCUGGCGGCAUGCCUUACACAUGCAAGUCGAACGGCAGCAUGGAGAGCUUGCUCUCUGAUGGCGAGUGGCGAACGGGUGAGUAAUGCAUCGGAACGUACCGUGUAAUGGGGGAUAACGUAGCGAAAGUUACGCUAAUACCGCAUACGACCUGAGGGUGAAAGCAGGGGAUCGCAAGACCUUGCGUUAUACGAGCGGCCGAUGUCAGAUUAGCUAGUUGGUGAGGCAAAGGCUCACCAAGGCGACGAUCUGUAGCGGGUCUGAGAGGAUGAUCCGCCACACUGGGACUGAGACACGGCCCAGACUCCUACGGGAGGCAGCAGUGGGGAAUUUUGGACAAUGGGGGCAACCCUGAUCCAGCCAUGCCGCGUGAGUGUAGAAGGCCUUCGGGUUGUAAAGCUCUUUCGGCCGGGAAGAAAUCGCACAGGCUAAUACUCUGUGUGGAUGACGGUACCGGCAUAAGAAGCACCGGCUAACUACGUGCCAACAGCCGCCGCGG
rnacentral:rRNA from 1 species